rnacentral:sRNA from 1 species
GUCGCUGCAAAUUCAGCGGCCGGGUUUGGAACCCCGAGGUGUAAAGGGCGAAAAAGCGCCAUUCAU